rnacentral:lncRNA from 1 species
UCCUCGACUUCGGUGACUGCGUCCCCUUCUUUGUCGUCUCGGUCCUCCGCCUUGAUGACUGCGUCCUCUUCUGUGUCAUCUCUUGUCUCUCUCCUAUAUUCCCUCCCGCAGUCAUAGCGGGAGUGUCAUGGAUGAUAGCGAUGACACGAAUUCUUUUGACUGGAGUUGUCGACGAUGAUUUGUUGUAAUGUUUGUCGAGGUAGUUGAUCUUGUGAUAGCCGUGGUUGAUGUAGAUAUGGUAGUUGAUAUGGCCGCAGAUAGCCGAAGGCGAAAAAAGAUUAAAGACGGAGCUACGAUCAUAGAUUAGACACUUUACAGAUGUCAAAGGAUACCAUUGGAAGCGUCUUUGCAUAUGUCAGAGGAUGUCCUUUGGUCAUCUUGCAGAUGUCAGAGAACGCCGUUGACGUCGGGUCACCAAUUUUUGGUUGUACUCCGUAUGUCAUGUAGGAGGUCACCACCAUAGUGAUGUCAGGUUGAUGCAGUCUUUUCUCGUUGUAGAUGACACGGUUGAUGCCGACAUCGAUGAAGCGUCUUGUAGAGAUUCCUGUCAGAGGACGGAAGAUGAAUGUCCAUCGUUGUGGACGGAGCGGCGUCGUGUUGUUUCCAUGUUGAUGUAGAUCAUCGGUAAUGUUACUUCAAUGCAUGUUGAUGGC